GUCGAACAGUUUUAUAUCACCCACUUCUUCCCAACAUAUCAGCGAUCUGCAUGGACGGCCAUACAACGCCUCAUACGGAGCAUGCCAAUACUUGCCUGGUAGUUAUUGUUGUAGGCGAAUUCUAUCAAGGGUAGAUGGUCAUCCCAAUGGCCCCCCGAAGUCAAGAAUACAAGCUCGUAGCAUAUCCUCAAGUGUGCAGAU
rnacentral:lncRNA from 1 species